GUGAUAUCCACGGGAAGGCAACAUGAUCGAAAUUCCAUUGAUAUAUUUUUUGAGGUCAACAGAUUGACAUCAUCUAGGAAAUCAGUAUAUUAACUGUAUUCUAUCACGUACAAAAAGCCAUUGGAAAAGAUCAAUUUUUUGGGUAGUUUAUCUACCUAAAUAGCGAAGACAACAACAAAUUCAAAGGACUCAAGCCACGACAAAAGUGAAGAAAAUGGAACUACUGGAAAAAGAUUUUUGGAAGCCAUCUUUUUCAAUGUUUCAGUAAGUAAAGGGGAAAAAUCAAAGUCCAAGCUUAUGGAAGAAAGCAAAAGACAGGAAUUCUUUGGUUGCUAAAAAUGAAUUUUGAAAUAGUGGAUUUUCAUGACGAGUCUAAAAGAAGCUGAUUCAUUCCAAUUAAUGGAUACUCCAGAAAAUUCAGCAUUUUAAUUUGAGUCGGUGGCUUCAAGGUCUUAAGUUUGCAGUUAAGAGUUAACAUGGGCUUAAUGAAUUUAACAUGACACUGCUUCUUUGUAACUGUUUUUCUUGAUCGUUGGAAAGCACCUGCUGGAGUCUCUCUGCUAUCUUAAAGGGAGAUUUUUGUUGUCUUUCAUAAUAUACCCCAAGAAAAGAUUUGCUGAUAUAGUGGUGGCUUCGAUUCAUUGGUCGGACACAAUACGGUUAGCCACAUAAAACCUAGAAAGAAAAGUUUAGGAUUCCGGUGUCGCACAUAGAGUGUUCGACGAAAUCUCUCGGAUAAAAUUUUACCUCCGAUGAUCAGUUCUGUAAUAUGGCUAGGCAAGAUAGUGCUUGGUUCGGUUUUUAGUCAACAUGAUGAUGGAGACAGGUCAUGAUGAUAACUUUCUAAAAUGGUUCACUAUUUCGUGGCAACAGAACCAGACUUUUGAGGCUGAAUUGGUACUUUUUCUGGAUUGAAUUAUUUCAUCCACAAGAAUAGGUUGAAAAAGGUAUUGGUAAGGGCUCUUCGAAGAGGUCAAGGACUGCUUGGUAGGCUUCACUAGAAUGUCCUAAUGUUUUGGUAAAGUUGGCUCAAGAUUUGUUAAUAUUAAUGCUUUUUUUCUAAACUUUUCCUGCCUUCAGCUUCCUGAAUAAUAUUUUCAUUUUAGGCUUGGUUUUCUUGGUUGGGAAGCAUGUAUAGUCCCUUGUUUUGGAUCAAUUUAAGAGAAACGUCAAAUGGUGAAUAAGUAGAUGAGAAUUUUCAUCUCUUCAUUCAAACUCCUUGCAAGCUUUAAGAGACGAAUUGUAAAAGACGUGUGAAGCCGCCUGUACCUAUUCUGAAUGUAUUGCUCCAAAGUUGGUAUUUUUUGAAGCACUUAACUACUAACUCUAGCUGUUCGAUAAAAUCUCGUGCUUGAAAUUCUGUCGAAAGUUCCAACCGUGGAUGCUGAGGCAGCUGCAAUGCAAGCAACAUUUAACUAUGCAUAACAGAUGCUCGACAAAAUGUCUUAAAUUUGUUUCUUCUAGUUCCAACGCUUGAUUGAUGAUCAUUUGCAACCUUCGUCAACAAAAGUCGAGACAGCCACUAUGUGUCGCAGUCUCUAGCUUUGACUAUUAGGAUUUAG
rnacentral:lncRNA from 1 species